rnacentral:tRNA from 1 species
UACAUACUAGCUCAUUUGGUAGAGCAUUCGACUUGUAAUCGAAGAGUAAUAGGUUCGAUUCCUAUGUAUACGC